rnacentral:siRNA from 1 species
UCUAAGGAUUCUAGGAUGCGU